UGGGGAAUAUUGGACAAUGGGGGAAACCCUGAUCCAGCAAUGCCGCGUGUGUGAAGAAGGCCUUCGGGUUGUAAAGCACUUUUAUCGGGAACGAAACGUUGUCGGUUAAUACCCGGCAAAACUGACGGUACCCGAGGAAUAAGCAUCGGCUAACUACGUGCCCGCAGCCGCGGUAAUACGUAGGAUGCAAGCGUUGUCCGGAAUUAUUGGGCGUAAAGAGCGCGCAGGCGGUCUAUCAAGUCAGAUGUGAAAUAUCCCGGCUUAACCGGGAGGGGUCAUUUGAAACUGGUAGACUAGAGUACAGCAGAGGAUAGUGGAAUUCCCGGUGUAGUGGUGAAAUGCGUAGAUAUCGGGAGGAACACCAGUGGCGAAGGCGACUAUCUGGGCUGAAACUGACGCUGAGGCGCGAAGGCUAGGGGAGCAAAC
rnacentral:rRNA from 1 species